rnacentral:rRNA from 1 species
UGAGGAAUAUUGGGCAAUGCCCGCAAGGGUGACCCAGCAACGCCGCGUGGAGGAUGAAUGUCGUAAGAUUGUAAACUCCUGUUAGAGGGGAAGAAUAGUACCGGUUGGACCGGUAUAUGACUGUACCCUCAGAGAAAGCCCCGGCUAACUACGUGCCAGCAGCCGCGGUAAUACGUAGGGGGCAAGCGUUGUCCGGAUUUACUGGGUGUAAAGGGCGCGCAGGCGGGAUAAAAAGUCAGUGGUGAAAUCCUACAGCUUAACCGUAGAACUGCCUUUGAUACUUUUAGUCUUGAGUUCGGGAGAGAGAGACGGAAUUCCAGGUGUAGUGGUGAAAUACGUAGAUAUCUGGAAGAACACCAGUUGCGAAGGCGGUCUCUUGGUCCGACACUGACGCUGAGGCGCGAAAGCGUGGGGAGCAAACA